rnacentral:misc_RNA from 1 species
CUGUUCCUCGCCGAGAUGGCUCCGCCGCGGUGGCGCGGCUCCCUGACCGCGGGCUACCAGUUCUUCCUCGCGCUCGGGGUGCUGAUCGCCAACCUCGUGAACUACGCGACGGCACACGCCUCCUGGGGGUGGCGCGUCUCGCUGGGCCUGGCGGGCGCGUCGGCCGUCGCCAUCUUCGUGGGCGCGCUCUUCCUCACCGACACCCCCAGCAGCCUCGUGAUGCGGGGGCGCGCCGACGGGGCCCGGGCGGCGCUGCUCCGGGUGCGCGAGUACCGCCCGCACCUGGUGCUCGCCGUGGCCGUGCCCAUGUUCUUCCAGCUCACGGGCGUCAUCGUGCUCGCCUUCUUCGCGCCGCUCGUGUUCCGGACCGUCGGCUUCGGGAGCAGAGCCGCCCUCAUGGGCGCCGUCGUACUCGGCGCCGUCAACCUGGGCUCGCUCGUGCUCUCCACCUUCGUCAUCGACCGGUACGGACGGAAGGUGCUCUUCAUGGCCGGCGGCGUACAGAUGGUCGUCUGCCAGGUCGCGAUUGCUUGGAUCAUGGGGGCGAAGAUCGGCAAGGGCGGCGAGGCGGCAAUGGCGCACCCGUACGCCGUGGCGGUGCUGGUGUUCACCUGCCUGCACACUGCCGGGUUCGGGUGGUCGUGGGGCCCGCUGGGGUGGGUGAUCCCGAGCGAGAUAUUCCCGGUGGACAUCCGGUCGGCAGGGCAGGCCAUGAACGUCUCCAUCGGCCUCUGCCUCACCUUCGUGCAGACGCAGUCGUUCCUCGCCAUGCUCUGCCGCUUCAAGUACGCCACCUUCGCCUACUACGCCGCCUGGGUCGCCGUCAUGACCGUCUUCAUCGCCCUCUUCCUGCCGGAGACCAAGGGCAUCCCGCUCGAGUCCAUGGGCACCAUCUGGGUGAAACACUGGUAUUGGAAGAGGUUCGUCCACGACGGAAAGCAGAGCAACGUGGCACUGACCUAAGGACGAACCGGUGGGAAAUGUGGACCUCACGAGUUUCGUGCAUUCCCCCAUGGCACACCCAGAACAUGGGGCCAGAAAUUGCAGAGGAGCUGGAUCCGAAGCGG